rnacentral:rRNA from 1 species
AACGAACGCUGGCGGCAUGCCUAACACAUGCAAGUCGAACGAAGCCUUCGGGCUUAGUGGCGCACGGGUGCGUAACGCGUGGGAAUCUGCCCCUUGCUUCGGAAUAACAGUUAGAAAUGACUGCUAAUACCGGAUGAAGUCUUCGGACCAAAGAUUUAUCGGCAAGGGAUGAGCCCGCGUAGGAUUAGGUAGUUGGUGGGGUAAAGGCCUACCAAGCCGACGAUCAUUAGCUGGUCUGAGAGGAUGAUCAGCCACACUGGGACUGAGACACGGCCCAGACUCCUACGGGAGGCAGCAGUGGGGAAUAUUGGACAAUGGACGCAAGUCUGAUCCAGCAAUGCCGCGUGAGUGAUGAAGGCCUUAGGGUUGUAAAGCUCUUUUACCAGGGAUGAUAAUGACAGUACCUGGAGAAUAAGCUCCGGCUAACUCCGUG